UCUCAGCUUCCUGAAUAGCUAGGAUUACAGGCAUGAGCCACUGGUACCCAGCUUUUGUUUUUGUGAAAGUUUCUUGAUAUGUAGUUCUUGAUAUGUAGGUCUUGAACUCAUCACAUAGGUAUAUCCUAGUCCCUAAGCCUUUUGAAGGUUGAGAUUACAUGAUGUGUUACCAUGCCUAGCUUCACUGUUUUUCUUAAUAACUGGAAAAACUAUGCUUGGACUCUAUAAUGAAGUAACUUUGGGAGAAAAUGCAUGAUCUAAGGACUGACACUAAAACUCUAAGUCUAUAUAAAGAAAUACACACCAGAUUCACAGGAUACAUGUAACUCGAGUGAGUCACUUAGUAGCUAUUGGAAUUUGAUAGAAGUAUAAUACACCCCCAUUAAGCAUUGCCCCUGUACAUUAAAAUGUGACAUCACUCUCUCCUCUAACACUUUAUAACAGAGUCAAAUAAAAAAGCUCCUCCAGAUUGCAACUGUAAGAUAAUCAGAUUCUG